rnacentral:rRNA from 1 species
UACGUAGGGUGCAAGCGUUAAUCGGAAUUACUGGGCGUAAAGCGUGCGCAGGCGGUUUUGUAAGUCUGUCGUGAAAGCCCCGGGCUCAACCUGGGAAUUGCGAUGGAGACUGCAAGGCUUGAAUCUGGCAGAGGGGGGUAGAAUUCCACGUGUAGCAGUGAAAUGCGUAGAGAUGUGGAGGAACACCGAUGGCGAAGGCAGC